GCGUCCGUAGCUCAGCUGGAUAGAGCAUUAGCCUUCUAAGCUAGGGGUCGCACGUUCGAAUCGUGCCGGACGCACCA
rnacentral:tRNA from 1 species